rnacentral:rRNA from 1 species
CGGGACGGGUGAGUAAUGUCUGGGAAACUGCCUGAUGGAGGGGGGUAACUACUGGAAACGGUAGCUAAUACCGCAUAACGUCGCAAGACCAAAGAGGGGGACCUUCGGGCCUCUUGCCAUCGGAUGUGCCCAGAUGGGAUUAGCUAGUAGGUGGGGUAACGGCUCACCUAGGCACGAUCCCUAGCUGGUCUGAGAGGAUGACCAGCCACACUGGAACUGAGACACGGUCCAG